GCAAACAGGAUUGGAUACCCUGGUAGUCCACGCUGUAAACGAUGUCGAUUUGGAGUUUGGGGGCAUGACCCUUGGGCUCCGGAGCUAACGCGUUAAAUCGACCGCCUGGGGAGUACGGCCGCAAGGUUAAAACUCAAAUGAAUUGACGGGGGCCCGCACAAGCGGUGGAGCAUGUGGUUUAAUUCGAUGCAACGCGAAGAACCUUACCUGGUCUUGACAUCCAUAGAAUCUUUCAGAGAUGAGAGAGUGCCUUCGGGAGCUAUGAGACAGGUGCUGCAUGGCUGUCGUCAGCUCGUGUUGUGAAAUGUUGGGUUAAGUCCCGCAACGAGCGCAACCCCUAUCCUUUGUUGCCAGCACGUAAUGGUGGGAACUCAAAGGAGACUGCCGUUGAUAAAGCGGAGGAAGGUGGGGACGACGUCAAGUCAUCAUGGCCCUUACGACCAGGGCUACACACGUGCUACAAUGGCGUAUACAAAGGGAUGCGAAGGUGCGAACUGGAGCGGACCUCACAAAGUACGUCUAAGUCCGGAUUGGAGUCUGCAACUCGACUCCAUGAAGUCGGAAUCGCUAGUAAUCGUGAAUCAGAAUGUCACGGUGAAUACGUUCCCGGGCCUUGUACACACCGCCCGUCACACCAUGGGAGUAGGUUGCACCAGAAGUAGAUAGCUUAACCUUCGGGAGGGCGUUUACCACGGUGUGGUUCAUGACUGGGGUGAAGUCGUAACAAGGUAACCA
rnacentral:rRNA from 1 species